CUGCAGAGGACGUCUGGUGCUCACAGGAGGGACAAAGCAGAUCCAAAACUGUAGCAUCGUGGCCGCCCAGAGAACACUGGAUCCAGUCUGGUCACCCAAAUACCGCCUGCCUGCAGCCUCUGAGCAGGGCUCAGACAGAAGAAAACCCAUCCAAACUGUGGGUUUGUGUUUGUUUUCCACGCUCCACCGUUGAAAUUCCAUGUCAAAGAUUUACAAGUCCCUGGAGGGGAGCAGGGACUGCAGCUGAGAGCCCGGUGUUUUGCCAUCUCUGCUGUGUGCUGGAGUGAGCCGGGACAGCUGCCGGAGGACGCUGGAGGCGUUGUGCUGCCGGACAGGUUUGAAGGCUGGUGUUAAUGAACUGCUGUUAAUGGGCUGGUGUUAAUGGGCACCCUGAUGGUGAGAAGUCA
rnacentral:lncRNA from 1 species